rnacentral:rRNA from 1 species
ACCUCUGUUUCCUCCGGCGUACAGCGCCCUGGCCUACCUACAGGGCCUCCCCCCCCUAAGGGGGGUUGACCUGCUAGGGAGGUGCCUAGCUGAUCAGUACCUAAUCCUUCGGGCUCUGGGUAGCUGUGAUAGGUGCCGACCAAGGCCUCGGUAGCGCGCCGAGAGGACCGCUCGAAGCUCUUUUUCUCCAACUCUUGCUAGAACAAACCCUUAUCGAAGGAACUAUUCCAAUAAAAACCACUCGAAAAAAAUAUCGAAGAAAAUUAUCGAAGUAACUAUCGAAGAAAUUAUCGAAGAUUCUUUUUUUUACGGCUAUUAAUGAUUU